AAAAUCUGUCACAGUCUACGUUCCAGCCCCACUGAACAACUUUUAGUUCACACCCUGAAAAUGCAAGGAUUUCUUUCUCCUCCAGUGGAGUGACUUCAGCCAGGACAUGGAAAGAAACCUUGUCCAGCACGUCCCCAGGCGUGGCGUGCUGUUCACUGCGCUCCAAGAACCACUGCCCUUCCAGGGCCUGGGAAAACACUGGCCCCCACAUUGGAGAUGAGGCGCCUGUUGGACAUUCCUCAAAGAAGACUCAGGCAGCCCUGCCUCAGACACCGAUGAUGUUUCCGGGUCAAGGCCUUGGGGAGAGAGCCCAGCCGCCACCUCUUGUCUCUCAGUUCCCUGCACUCAGCCAAGGUGACGCCGUCGCCCACUCUGUGUGGGGCAGCCCCCACAGCCUCUUGGUGCAAUCCUAAAACUCACUGGCCUGGCUUCCCACAGCCUCCACGAAUGAUGCCAACUGUGCCGUGUCUCAAGGAUUUCCCACUUGCCAAGUAGGGAAGUCAGGGAGGCACAGUCAGGCUUCAACCUUGAAGAGGGGUAACCUGGCUAUCAGCUGUGCAAGACUUUAUGUAAGCUCCAAGGGGCAACCUCUUAUUCAAUGCUGGGCACUUAAUAAAUGCUUUAAAAAAUUA